AUGACCUCCUGAACUGACAUGCCUUGAAAAGCAUCAUGUAAGGAUAAUAUAAAGCCCUUCCUAUAAUACUGGAUUUGAAUAAAAAGCAUUUUGCUCCAUUCUGGGGGAAAAUCAGUUCCUUUUUUCUGUUUGCCAGAACUUUCCACCUACAUUCUGCAGUUAAUCAGGUUGGCCAUUCAGGUGAAAGUAUAGCUUCAUGAACACAUGUUUAGGAUUUGGAUAUGAACACAAUGAUGAAAAUAACUAGAUAAUACAGAAGUGGCAAAAACAGGUAUGAAAUGAAAUUAAAAGGACUGGAGAGG
rnacentral:lncRNA from 1 species